rnacentral:misc_RNA from 1 species
AACGCACAUUGCGCCCAUUAGUAUUCUAGUGGGCAUGCCUGUUCGAGCGUCAUUUCAACCCUUAAGCCUAGCUUAGUGUUGGGAAUCUACUUCUCUUAGGAGUUGUAGUUCCUGAAAUACAACGGCGGAUUUGUAGUAUCCUCUGAGCGUAGUAAUUCUUUUCUCGCUUUUGUUAGGUGCUAUAACUCCCAGCCGCUAAACCCCCAAUUUUUUGUGGUUGACCUCGGAUCAGGUAGGAAUACCCGCUGAACUUAA